rnacentral:tRNA from 1 species
AGAGCUGUGGCACAGCGGGUUAAUGCCCUGGCCUGAAGCGCUAGCAUCCUAUAUGGGCGCAGGUUCGAGACCUGGCUGCUCCA